ensembl:lncRNA
CAGGGUCGUGGGGAACCUGGAGCCUAUCCCAGGAAGCCAAGGGACACCCUGAACGGGGUUCCAAUCCAUUGCAGGGCUCAAUCACACACUGAUUCACACUUUCAUUCAUACACUAUGGACACUUUGGACAUGUCUGCCAUGGAUGUCUUUGGACCGGGGGAGUAGGCAGGAGUCUCAGACUGCAGAGUUGUGGCCCUUCCAUGACCAAAAUUUGACAACUUUGAGAAUCCUGACCAGCUGUCUCACUGUGUGGUGAGGGACCUGCACAGCCUCCGACCGUAAGACCCUUCAGUGAAUUGUGAGGAUACCUCGAUACGUCAUAUAACAACCACUGCAUCCUCAAAAAGCCACCAGUAUUGCAGACGACCCUUCUCACCCCACUCAUGGAGUCUUCACCCUACUGCCAUGGCAGAUGGCACAGGAGCAUCCGUGCCACCACCAGCACACUCCGCAACAGUUUCUUCCCUGGGGCAGAUUACUCAACACCCUCCUGCCUCCCAACGCUCACCUCGGCUAGUCAAACAUCUAACCCAGAAUGACUCAGUACCACUGCACAUGCACUUUACAAAGAUGCAUCAGUCACUUUUUUGCUGCCGAUAUUGCUGCCUUACUUGUGCUGUUACAUUACACAAUAGUUUACAGUUCACAGCCCAUGUUCUCUGUACUUAUUGUCCUGUGUAUGUAUCGUCUUGCGCUCAUUUCAUGCUGUUGCACCAUGGUCCCGAGGAAAUGACGUUUCGUUACAAUGUAUACAAACUAUAUAGAGGAAUGACAAUAAAAACC